ACUCCUGCGGGAGGCAGCAGUAGGGAAUCUUCGGCAAUGGGGGCAACCCUGACCGAGCAACGCCGCGUGAGUGAAGAAGGUUUUCGGAUCGUAAAGCUCUGUUGUAAGUCAAGAACGAGUGUGAGAGUGGAAAGUUCACACUGUGACGGUAGCUUACCAGAAAGGGACGGCUAACUACGUGCCAGCAGCCGCGGUAAUACGUAGGUCCCGAGCGUUGUCCGGAUUUAUUGGGCGUAAAGCGGGCGCAGGCGGUUUGAUAAGUCUGAAGUUAAAGGCUGUGGCUCAACCAUAGUUCGCUUUGGAAACUGUCAAACUUGAGUGCAGAAGGGGAGAGUGGAAUUCCAUGUGUAGCGGUGAAAUGCGUAGAUAUAUGGAGGAACACCGGUGGCGAAAGCGGCUCACUGGUCUGUAACUGACGCUGAGGCUCGAAAGCGUGGGGAGCGAACAGGAUUAGAUACCCCGGUAGUCCCAUG
rnacentral:rRNA from 1 species